AAGUAUGUAAUUAUAAUUAAUAUAUAUGUCAUAAUAAAAUGUAAUUGAAAUUCAUUUUAUCUUUUUUCAAAGUAUUCUAGAUUUGUUAAGCUGUUUUGAAAAAUUACUCUAGGAUUGAAGUUGCCAUUUUUACUAAAACUGUUUCAGUGUGUAACUCAUUUGACAUGACGAUAAUUUUGUUUAUCUUAAAUCCUAAAACUAGUAUUGAAGUGGUUUUUGUAUUAUUUUAUCAGUGAUAAAGUUGAUAGACUUACACUUUGUCAUUCAACAUGCUGGAAACCAGCGGGUUGCAGAGGAUUCGCACCAUCAAUAACAAUUCUGUAUGGACAGGAACUAUGUUCUUGUCCAGUUUGGAAUACAAAAUUUUCCUGAACUUGGCGUUUUUCUCCAGCAGAUCGCGGAUCUAAGACAGAUACAUUUCGUUCAGCCAGCUUGGAUGGACCAGGUUCAGAUGACAUUCCCGUAGAGGUUGAUGCUAGGGUAGAUGAGUGCAUCGAUUCAUUUGGAACUGAAUCAUUGACUACCUUUUCUCUGAGUUUCUGGAGCUUCUCGACGACAGACAAAAUAAUAAAACGGGGUCCCAUUUGAUCAAUACCGAUGGAUAUCAAAUGUGCAUCGUUGAGAAACAUUAUCGAUUGAUCUGUGAACUUAUUAACUGGAAGAAGUGUAUAACGUUAUUAUAAAUUGUUUAUGUAUGUGAAUUUUUAUUCUGUACAAUUUACGUGAGUAUUUAAUUAAAUAAAGUAACAAAUGUUUAAAUACGUUUAACAAA